AUUGAACGCUGGCGGCAUGCCUUACACAUGCAAGUCGAACGGCAGCACGGGUGCUUGCACCUGGUGGCGAGUGGCGAACGGGUGAGUAAUACAUCGGAACAUGUCCUGUAGUGGGGGAUAGCCCGGCGAAAGCCGGAUUAAUACCGCAUACGAUCUACGGAUGAAAGCGUGGGACCUUCGGGCCUCGCGCUAUAGGGUUGGCCGAUGGCUGAUUAGCUAGUUGGGGGGGUAAAGGCCUACCAAGGCGACGAUCAGUAGCUGGUCUGAGAGGACGACCAGCCACACUGGGAGUGAGACACGGCCCAGACUCCUACGGGAGGCAGCAGUGGGGAAUUUUGGACAAAGGGCGAAAGCCUGAUCCAGCAAUGCCGCGUGUGGGAAGAAGGCCUUCGGGUUGUAAAGCACUUUUGUCCGGAAAGAAAUUCUUGGCUCUAAUACAGUCGGGGGAUGACGGUACCGGAAGAAUAAGCACCGGCUAACUACGUG
rnacentral:rRNA from 1 species